CAGGGGAGGUCGGUGUGAGAGCCCUGUGCUACAGGUCAAUGAGGAAGAGUGAGGCACCACACAGACUAAGUAUUAAGCUUCUGGAUUCAUCACCGGUGGUACUGACACAUAGCCAGUGCUCCUGUGUGGCAGGCGCUGUUAUGUGCAAUCACACAGUGGCACUGCUCUUCCAAACAGCACACUACUCACAACUCAGAGUGCCGGUUGUCCCCCUGUGCAUAGCUGCACAGAAUCUGAACAGCAAUGGCACAAGCCACGGACAGUGGGUGUGAAGCCAGGACCUAUCAACUCUAUGAUCUUCACUAAGCCGGUACCAAAUAGGAUGGCCCAGACUGGAGUACGGUAAUUAGAUUUGUAAAAUUUGGUUUCCUGUGUUACAAAUGCAUGUUGCUAUUUGUUCA